CCUACGGGAGGCUGCAGUGAGGAAUAUUUGUCCAUGGCCGGAAGGCUGCACCCGCCAAGCCGCGUGAAGGACGCAGGUGCCAAGCAUUGUAAACUUCUUUUGUCAAGGGACAAAAUCAGGCUCGAGAGCCUGACCGAGGGUACUUGACGAAAAAGCAUCGGCUAACUCCGAGCCAGCAGCCGCGGUAAUACGGAGGAUGCGAGCGUUAUCCGGAUUUAUUGGGUUUAAGGGGUGCGUAGGCGGGCUGUUAAGGCAGCGGUAAAAGCCCGGGGCUCAACCCCGGCGAGCCGUUGAAAAUGGCUGUCUUGAGAUGUCGAGAGGUAUGCGGAAUGCGAAGUGUAGCGGUGAAAUGCUUAGAUAUUGCGCAGAACUACGAUUGCGAAGGCAGCAUACCGGCGGCGAUCUGACGCUGAGGCACGAAAGCGUGGGUAUCGAACAGGAUUAGAUACCCGUGUAGUC
rnacentral:rRNA from 1 species